GCUGGGAGUUGUGGCGUGCUCCUGUAAUCCAGCUACUUUGGAGGCUUGAGUCGGAGGACGGUUUGAGUGCGGGGGUUCUGCUCUCGGGCGUGCCAUGUCGAUCGGGUGUCCGCACUAAGCCCGGCAUUAAUAUGGUGAUCUUGUAGGAAUACGAGAUUUCCAGGUUGACUAAGGAGGGACGAACCGGCCCAGGGGGGAAACCCAGCAGGCAAAAGUCCCCGUGUCGCGCAGUAGUGGGAUCGCACCCGUGAAUGGGCGUUCGUUGGCAGCCCGUCCGAUAUAAUCGGACCCGGCUCUUAUU
rnacentral:SRP_RNA from 1 species